GACGGCUGGGAGAAGCGUGGUGAAGAAGAGUAUUGAUUGUGCUGUUCGCCACUUCCCUCCCUGCAG
ensembl:miRNA